CCUACGGGAGGCAGCAGUGGGGAAUCUUGCGCAAUGGGCGAAAGCCUGACGCAGCCAUGCCGCGUGAAUGAUGAAGGUCUUAGGAUUGUAAAAUUCUUUCACCGGGGACGAUAAUGACGGUACCCGGAGAAGAAGCCCCGGCUAACUUCGUGCCAGCAGCCGCGGUAAUACGAAGGGGGCUAGCGUUGCUCGGAAUUACUGGGCGUAAAGGGAGCGUAGGCGGAUAGUUUAGUCAGAGGUGAAAGCCCAGGGCUCAACCUUGGAAUUGCCUUUGAUACUGGCUAUCUUGAGUAUGGGAGAGGUAUGCGGAACUCCGAGUGUAGAGGUGAAAUUCGUAGAUAUUCGGAAGAACACCAGUGGCGAAGGCGGCAUACUGGCCCAUUACUGACGCUGAGGCUCGAAAGCGUGGGGAGCAAACAGGAUUAGAUACCCUGGUAGUCCACGCUGUAAACGAUGAGUGCUAGUUGUCGGCAUGCAUGCAUGUCGGUGACGCAGCUAACGCAUUAAGCACUCCGCCUGGGGAGUACGGUCGCAAGNUUAAAACUCAAAUGAUAGAGCGNGAGAGNGCGAGACGACACGAGGAGAGG
rnacentral:rRNA from 1 species